GUUUAAACGAAGAAGAAUAGGACGGAAGAAGAAGAAGAAGAAGAAGAAGAAGACACAGCAGUCACCCUGCAACAACAGAGAGGAACAUGAUUUCACGACAUUGAAGUAAAAGCGUCUCCGCUGACCUGCUGCAUGAAUUAAAAGCAUUUGGAGACAUUGCAUCCCAGCAACAGGCUCAACUAGAGGAAAUCCAAACGACUAUGACAGACCUGGCUAAAGCACGGGAACAUAUGAUGCAGGAGAGGGAAAACUUCUCCCUGGAGAGCAGAAGCUCUCUUGUUGUAAAUGUGUCAAAUCAUUUCCCACCUUCAAACAUUGAAAAUAAAAGAUAAUAUUAAUGUAUUUUUUUUAAUGUGAGUGUGACUGAAACUGAAUAAAAGAUUCCUAUUUCUCA